rnacentral:rRNA from 1 species
GACGAACGCUGGCGGCGUGCUUAACACAUGCAAGUCGAACGAUGAAGCCUAGCUUGCUAGGUGGAUUAGUGGCGAACGGGUGAGUAAUACGUGAGUAACCUACCUUUAACUCUGGGAUAAGCCCGGGAAACUGGGUCUAAUACCGGAUACGACCAAUCUCCGCAUGGGGUGUUGGUGGAAAGCGUUAUGUAGUGGUUAUAGAUGGGCUCACGGCCUAUCAGCUUGUUGGUGAGGUAACGGCUCACCAAGGCGACGACGGGUAUCCGGCCUGAGAGGGUGACCGGCCACACUGGGACUGAGACACGGCCCAGACUCCUACGGGAGGCAGCAGUGGGGAAUAUUGCACAAUGGGCGCAAGCCUGAUGCAGCGACGCCGCGUGAGGGAUGACGGCCUUCGGGUUGUAAACCUCUGUUAGCAGGGAAGAAGAGAGAUUGACGGUACCUGCAGAGAAAGCGCCGGCUAACUACGUG